UACGUAGGGGGCAAGCGUUGUCCGGAAUUAUUGGGCGUAAAGAGCGUGUAGGCGGCCCGAUAAGUCCGCUGUGAAAGUCCAGGGCUCAACCCUGGAAUGCCAGUGGAAACUGUCGGGCUGGAGUCCGGAAGAGGCGAGUGGAAUUCCUGGUGUAGCGGUGAAAUGCGCAGAUAUCAGGAGGAACACCAAUGGCGAAGGCAGCUCGCUGGGACGGUACUGACGCUGAGACGCGAAAGCGUGGGGAGCGAACAGG
rnacentral:rRNA from 1 species